UCCGAUUUCGGUCCUUGGAAUCCGGAUCCGCAUCAAAAAUCCUAGAAUUUGUUACUUAUCUAGAACUUCCUAAAAUAAAAGAUUACAAAUAGAAUAAAAUCCUAGAAUAUUCUAACAAUCUUGAACCCAAAUCAGUAACUUGGAACCCAAUUGGAUCUCGGUCUUGGUCCGGGUUCUGGAGCGGGUUUGGGUCGAUCCAUCGGAGCGCUGCUACAUCAGAGUGCGAGCAGGGUCAUAUACAUAGCUGGGAUUUUUUAUUUAACAGGGGGCGGGGUGGUAAUCACCUACUCAUGUGUCUAAGGUGACUAGGUAGCAUUCUUUUACCCAUUUUAUGAAUUUUCUUAUGGUGCAGCCCUAUGGAAGUGUGUAUAGGAAUUGAUUUAAUGCUGGAUUCCACUUUUUUGGGUGACUACUAUUGAUUGUUAAAAUAAGGCUCUGGUAAUCUUUUUUCCAUUCCAAAAAUGCAUUGAUAAGUCAUAACGAAUUAGAAAUCAGAUGGUGAAACUGAGUAGAAUGUUCUUCAUUAUGGUAUAGAAAAUGUUUAUUUGCUCUCUCUCUCUCUCCAUCCACAGGUUCCUUCUUUCUCCCAGAAACUCUAUCCCUUCUCUUCCUGAUCACCCUUCCUUCUGAAUCCUUUCCCCCCUAAGAUAUGGCCACAUGUGCAUCUGCACGUUCGAAUUUGCUAGUGUAAAUAUAUAUGGGGAACUGAACGCUCCCUGGUCACACGGCCUUUGCACUAGACACACAGAAAUGACACCCCCACUCCUGUGAAACCCAAAAAAGCCACCUCCUAUUGAUGCCCAUGUGCGCCCCCCUCAUUGCCCCCCACACUGGUGUAGAUAUCUUGGUGGAGAAGAUUCAGGCAUGGAUGAUGAACAAGAAGAUGACAAGGGAUUUAAUUAUCAGGUCUUAUAUCACGGACAAAUUUAAGUUUGGAAAUUUCUUGAACACUGGGUACUGUAGUCUGUAAGUUGGAGAUCUCAUUAUUUAUCUGAUUGAUUAGAUAAUUUUUUUUUUACUACUAUUAUUCUUUCACAGAAGAAAGAAAGUCUUUCCACCCAUAAGAAACAACCAGAGAAGCUUCAUUCACAAAUAGAUCAUAUGGAGAGGGCAAACUUUUGGAAUCCAAGACAUGGAUAAUGCAGGGAGAGGAGGAAUAUGUGGACAGGUCUCGCUUUUGCAACACUCUCAUUCUCUGAUGAAUGGAAGAAAGAUGUGUGCAUCAUAUUGUUGGCCUCCAUGAUCAUUAUGAUUCUGUUUUCUUUUUAUUUCCCUUCCCCACCCUCACUCCCAACUCCCCUCUUCAUCAUAACAGUAGAUUUUUUCUAAUAAUAGGAUUGUAUUUAAUAAGAAUGUAAAAGAAUGCAGGAGAGUCAAAAGAGAAAAGGAGGCCUCAGUGCCACACAAUGAUUCUGUGGUUUGCAUUUUUGAUAAAUUUUUUAUUUUCUUGUAUUGGUGCUUCAAAUUUAAUAUUUGUAAGAUCUCUUCGUUGUGUUGGGUGCCUCUGGUUCAAUGAUCAUGAUAUCUGAGCCGAUUGUGCUUGUGCUUGUGCUUGUGCUUGUGCUUGUGCUUACUGGCCCUUUCACUCAAAAUUGUCUCUCUCAUAUAUAACUUUCAUCGAUGAAGUUUUUGGUGGGGAUAGAAGGGGAAGUUACUUCUCUCAUACGUUGGUCAUGCCCUUGUGUUCUGACUUCUGAUGGCUUUCUUUUUGUAUUGGAUGCCUGCUGGCGUUCUAAUGGAGGAGAUACUAUGACAGAGUAUAUUUAAAAUCUUUUAAUCUUUUCAUAACACUUCUCUUUCUUUUUGUCUUCCCUCAUUUAUGUGGCAUUUUUCUUGCAACCAAUUUUGAUCGAGAAGGACCAAAAGCUUGAAAAUUUCUUGGGCAAUUACUCUAACUGCACCUAAGAAAACGAUGUCUAUUUCCCAAAAGCAGCCAAUAUACUCUCCAUCAAAUAGAGGAGAAUCCCAACAAUGGCUGUCAGAUCAAUCAUCAAUGUGAACGUACCUCCAACCUCCAAAGUCUAAAGCAAAGAAACAGAUCCAGUUCUUCUUCUUGUGGAAAUGCUGAUGUACUGGAAGCACUGGGAAUGACUAUUGACUUGAACCCUCAGGUUUUCUGAAUUGAAUUCCUUGAAAUAAUUUUUUUAUUUCUAAAGUGUAGAUUAAUAGACUUCUCUGGAACCCUUCCCUCUAUUUAAGAUUGCAGAAGGAUAAAUUUUAAUAAUAUAGCAAUGACACUGUAGAAUAUAUGGUUAAAGCAAUAGAGGAUGAUGAUGGUUAGAGCAUUCUACUAUAGUAUAAUAGGCUUCUCUUGUUACCUUCUUCAAGCUAAAAGCAGUUUAUCACAUGCCAGAAAAGGAGUGUGAUUCCCAUGCACUCUCUAGUUCAUUGUGAUGU